UAAAUUCCCCCCAUUCCCACCCCGCCAUCGAUUUUCUCCCGUACACUCCCAAAUCCCAGUUUACCUUCUUCCCCAACUUCUUCUUCUCUAUUUUCUCUCGGCCUGCACAUUAAGCAAAACCCACUCAAAAAACAUUGCUACACGAUUUUUCCUUGUACAAUACUCACAUAUCCCGAUUCCCCUUUCUUUUCAAAUUCGUCUUCUCCAUUUUCGUCCUUACUGCAACUUCACAUUUCCCUCAGAUUUUUGUUCUUACAUAUUUUUCCUAUUUUUCAUUUCUAUGCGACAACACCUUAGCUGAGCAUGGACUCUCGCCGUCGAGCACCUCCUAUCGAACCCUCUCAUUCAUAUUCGUUGAUUGAAUCCGUAUAGUGUCAUCUCCAGUAGUUCUCUUCAGGAUGAGAACUUAACAAAAAGUACAAAGAUCAUGCAUCAUAGUACUUGAGCACGACAUGGACAUCGUAUAGAGGUUUUUUGUUCUAUUAAUCUGUUGGUGUUGUGACUUUCCAGAAAACUCAUAUACAGGUAUGCCUUUAUUUCUAUUUUUAGUCUCUCUCUCAUAAGUCACUAAUGAUUUAUAUCUUCUUCAUUUUCUGUUAUUUUUUCUAAUUUCUGAACUCUUUUUGAAUGUGGUUGAAUAGAAGCUUUCCAGAUAUUUGAUGUUUAUUGCUUACACGUUGAAAUAUAUUUAGAGAGUUGUUGAUAUUGCAACUGGCUGCAGUGACCUUGAAGCUAUAUUUAAUUUGUGUCUAAAUGGAAAUGGAGGUAUGUUUUCUUUUUUCUGGUUUUGGUAAAUGACACAUACACACCCAAUUCUAUUAUAUGAUCUUCUUACUAUUAGGCUUGGCUGGUUACUAUUUGGCGAGCUUCCGUUUGAUUUGGUGAGCAUAAACUUCUACUUCAUUUUUUUUGAUAAGUAUAUGAGCAAUAACUUCUAAUAAACCUUAUUUUUAUGCGAUCCUCUCAUCAUUGUCAUUUUCAAUCUUAUUUUCUCAUGUGAGCUUCUGUCAUGUUCUCUUCCACUUGAAUGUUAUUGGCCAAUCCCUUGGUUUUCUUGGAUUCUGUUUAUAUGCCUAAUGGGAAUAUAGACUGUAGUAAGUAUAUGAAGCUGCUGCAUGAAAGUUUUCCUUUUACCAGAGGUAACUAGCUCAAAUGGCUCAGUGUUGCUGCUUUUGUCAGCUGUCAAAUUUUGAUCUAAGGAUUAAAGGUUCUAAGGAAGCAUGUGUUUAUAUAUAUGGUUGUAUGUAGUAUGAAAAGCACCCAACUAGCACUACAAUGUGGGCAUCUUAUAAUGUAUUGGUGGUGAGGUAGAGAUACACUUGUAUUCAGUUGGAUACUUAAAAUAUUAUAUGAGCAUUCUCUAACAAAUAACAAGAACUCAUCUGUUUUCACAUUAAACGUUUAAAAAAGUUACCACUAGUCUGAUCUCUUUCCUGUAGUUGUCUUGUUCAUUCUUUCCUGUUGAUCAUACUUCUUUUAUUUUAUUCUUAGUUUAUUUGUCUGGUUGUCAUUAAUGCAGGAAGAGGAUUCCUUACAGCCUGCUUUAACAGGAGUUAUAGUUGAAAGGAGAAAAGAACAAACAACAAGAUUGCUAGAGGCUUACUAAAAUGCCAAAUCCCAAGUAUGGGUUUGCUUAUCACCUCACCUCCUGUCAUGGAUAUGCUUGGGCCAAGUUUGUGGGAUGCUUGGAAUAAUAAGUCAUACACUUCUAGUCUAUGGCGGUGGGAGCAUUGGGGAAAUGGGGCAGUGCAUGUAAAGGUAUCAAGGAGGCUGGACCUUGUGUAUGGACGUGGGAGCAUUGGGCUAAUGGGGCUGGUUUAACAAGCAGUUUAUUAUUGUGGUUAUGGAAAAGUUACUAGUUUAUCUUGAUCGCUGUGUUUGCAUACCAAUCCUACAUCCUCCUGGUGAGGACUUGAAUGGAAUAUAAGCUUGCAAGUAAAUUCAAGACACCAGUUCAUACAGAAUGUCAUAAAUACUUCAAACUAAAGCUUGCUUGCUUUCUUUUUAUAAAUCUGGUAAAUCUGAGAUUGUAAGUCUUUGCUUUGAGUAGUUUUGGUUCAAGGAAGGUUGUGAUGCUAUUUUCAUAUUCCAAAGCAGUUGUUGAACUAUAGAUUAAAUUACAAAAUAUUUUAUAUUAUUUAAUUGUAAGUGUAAAAUACUAUUAAGCUAUGCUUGUGGGCA